UUUUGGCAGUGAUAAUGAAUUUUACAGCUUUAUGCCAGUUCUGCUUCAGAAAAUUCGUGAUAGAGAGAGCUGUCUUAUACUCUGAGCCUUGGGACUUCAAUAUAAAAGAUUGAAACUUUAGUAGCCUAGUUUUAGAUUUAAAUGAGAUGAAAAUUUUGGCAGUGAUGAUGAAUUUUACAGCUUUAUGCCAGUUCUGCUUCAGAAAAUUCGUGAUAGAGAGAGCUGUCUUAUACUCUGAGCCUUGG
rnacentral:lncRNA from 1 species